UCCCUGACCGAUGGUGCUCCUCUGCUAUCCCUGCGCCGGGUGCUGCGCUCCUACACCAAUAGCUGUAGCCCCGGCAGCCGUGCCCAUGCAGGCCAGUUGGGGGAGGGGUGCCUCUUAGGGGUCCAGAGUGCUCUUAGGGCUGCUCUCCCCUCCCGGUACUUGCACCGGCUUGUCCCCUACAGCCCUCGAGCCAAAAGGAGGCACGGCCCAGACAGAUGCUGGUUACAGACCAGGACGUCUCUCCAAGCCUCCGUCUUUGCACCUGCUAUUACAGCCUGAAAGACCUAAGAAGCAGAGGUUCUGUACCCUAUUCUGCGCCCCCUUUUCCGCAGGAGUUGUCCUUGAUGCAAACCCUGACUCUUCUCCAGGACAAGGGGGCCUGGAGGUCCCCUUCUCUGUCUCAAUGCCCAGGGCAGAGGCUGGGUAUAUUUGUAUAAUUCCUGGAUGGGAGAGCAACACCCUUGACCUCCGACCCUGGCACCCUAGGGCACUGGCCUGGUCUUUGGGAUGACUCCAGUUUCAGAACCGUUUAAGUUGGAGCUCUCCGCACUUACCUAGUGAUCUGGUAAAGUUAUCAAUUCAGCCCCUAUUUCACCCCCAACCUUCACCAGAAGUUCUGAUUCAGCAAGUCAGGGGAUGAGACCUGAAGUGUGCAGUUUUCAGAACUCCCCCAGGAAAUUCAGGAACCACUGCCAGAGGCCACACACGCCCAUUGCCUUGGGUCCCUGCCCCUGGCACUCCCAACAGCCCUUGCGAAAUACUCCACGGUCCCCGUGGGGGUGGCCUUCUCUUGGGGAAGGGGGAGGGCGAUUGUUUAAAGUCUCUGCUGGGAGAGAAUCGGCCGUAUCAUGGGCCAGUCCCAUUCCUUGCAACUGGGCAACAGCAAGGACUAGAAGUAAAGCCAGAAGGUGCUGUUUAUUUCAACACAGGCUGCAAAGGCCACGCUGGGUGUGUUCUCAGAGGCUACAGAUAAUUUAGCUAGAAGGGAGAGAAAUCCUAGCCCAUGAUUUGAGUGCAGUGUUGAGAAGAUCCAUGGGGGGAGAGGGGAGGGGGGAAGGGCAAGGGUAUCUAAAAUCAACAAGGAAUCCAGUCGAGAAAACUUCCCAAAUGUUCACCCCUCCUCAGCUCUUUGAGGCAACUCGAUACAGCAAACUCCAAAGUUUCAUGUCGUCUAAAAGGGAACAGAAUCAUUUCCUCCUAAGUCAGUAAAGCAUCACACCAAGAGAGCAUGGCACACCCUCCCACCCACCCCUGUCCCCAGCAGAGAGGGGAAGGAAAUGUAAGGGGGGCAGGGAUAGAGAAUGAGGCUUUUAGAGACUGAAUCCUUCAUAACUGGAGGAGGAGGGGCCUAUCUGUGCGUCUAGUGGGGGAGGGGCAGGUAAUGGCUGCACAGAGUAGUUUCCCACAGGGCUGGUAAGUGGCUUCGCCAGGAUCUGCCUUACUGGUGGAGUCCACUCAGGAGAACAGGCAGUUUUUGGAGUCACUGAGACCACUCACAAACGAACAAACUAACAACAAAACCGCUGUUUCAUACGGUACUUUCUUGAACUUAGCAUUAAUGAGCCUUCACUUGAACUAAAUGGAAUGAGUCAGCGAGGCCCACAGGCCCAAAGAAUCCCAGCAUCUAUUUCUAAGCAAAAGAGGCAGGCUUACAGGCAGCUAAUCCGUUUAUGUAGAGGAUCUCAGGGUACUUACCAGCCCCUCCCCAACUAACAACCCGGUUUUCUCCAAUAGUGCAUUGAGUGCACAACUAAUCCUGACCAACCAGACCUAAGCCAAUGUUUCCCUGUGACCAGAUGGAGGGUUUCAAAAUGCCAUUCCUUGUUGUCGCACCAAAUCAUCUUUCAAUUCAUUGGUGAACAAGGUCUAAAGAGUCAGAGAGACCUGCAGAGUUUUCUGUCAGGUGGGGGUCACUUGCUGCCGGCUGGCUUGCCCUGCCUCCCCCGAAAGGACUUAGAACAAACAGUGCGCUUUCUCAGGCAGAGAGAGUUUCCAACCUUCAUCAAGUACAUUGCCUAGAGAAGAAGCCAAAAAAGGUAUCAUUCUAAAUUAAGAUGGCAGUAAAUACCUCCUUCUGGAGAGAUGGAAGCCAGUGGCUCCUGGGCCCGUGCACUAUUUAAAAUAGGUUAUUGUUGCCUUGGGCUGACAUUUUGUCUUUAGGGUAAGACAGAAACGCAGGAAACAAAAACUGUGUGUGUGUGUUGCUUUUCUUCUUGAAGAGGAAAACACAAGCUAAGUCUAUAACUGGAACUUGGCGAUGAAGGAAACCUGGUGGGGUUUUACUGGAAGAAAGUGGCCGCCAAGCCGCCUGACCAUCGUCUUCGCUUUGCAAAUCUGGUUUUCAUAUUCUCGCUCAGUAAUCACCCAAAGCUAUAACUGUCUCUGAAAUUAUUCAUUAAAGUCAUUUUCAGGGAUUCUCACAGGAUGACUCUUUUACGUUUACGAUCUUCUGAGAGCAAUGACAUCAGCCUCUGUCUCUUUUCCGCUUUUAAUUAAUGUGCUGGGAAGACCAGAGGGGCCGGGGCUGUGUCCGAGGGGAGGGGGCGGGGUGGGGGUGGAAUUCGCCGGCCGCUCUGCUCCCAGCGCGGUCAGCUGAGCCCGGGCGCGCAGACAUCCUUUGAUUAAGGAGGGUAUUUCGGGGAGUGCAGGCUGUGCAGAAGAUCAGGGCUGUGCCCUGUGGUGCUGUCAGCAGUGACAGAUCCCAGAUGGGGCCGCUACUGUAUGGCAGAUUGAGUUUCUCAGCAGAAAACUCACCCUCCCUCCUAAACGUCUUCAAAAACCUUCUCCAGAUACUCCAGGUCGCUUCGUGUAAAACUGAAAAAGUCCAACCCCAAAGUUGGUUUUGCGGCUACCCGGCUGCUAAGAGCGCAGACCUGGCGGGCCUGGUGGUUCCUGUUCUCCCGCCUGCAGCGCCGCGCCGUCGACUCAGCACCGCGGGGCCCGAAGGCAAUCCGGUGAGCACACUGGAGCCCAGAGAGCUGAUCUCUCCAGGUCGCCCAGCUGCAUAACCCGGGAUGGCUUCCUGCCCAGUGCUGUACUCCACUGUAACUGCAGAGAUGGGACCUACCAGUCUCUGUCGAGUGUAGGUGAGCAUGGAUCGAGUCUUUGGGAUAUCUCCUUCUGCUGCCCAACCAUCUGCACCCCUCACCCCACUUUCUGAUUCAAAAUAUUGGUAACUGGACCAGAAUAUAAUAUUCUUGGGUUCAGGAGUGCAAAUUUAAAGCAAAACUCAAAGUCAGUACCAUGUCACCUGUGCUGUGUUCCUUUAAACCUACCAACCCUAUUGUGUGGACUCUGAGCCCACAAGGACCUUUGGGACAAGGUUAUGUUUCCUCUAGUGAGGAUAUAGCAGCAAAUCUCACUUGUUUUUAGAGUCUUGAAUUCAAUGUAAGAGAAGUAAAAAUUCAUGAUCAAACUUAAUAAAGAGGCAAACUAAAAAUUAAUAAAUUUGUAAGUCAAUGUUCAGGAUAAUAUUCAACUGAUCCGUUCUCCUCACACAACAAACUCCCAAAUUAUUAACAUUGGAGGCAGGUGGAA